AUGCAUUACUUUUAGCAUAGAGCCAGGAACUGAAUACCUUUGAUAAAUAUGCAUUGCAUAAAUGAACAUGUAAAGAGUGACUACUUACUUAAUUCAUGUAAUUUGUGAGACGAUGCGUUUCUACAUCAAGAUCAAGUUACAGUUUUGUUGCAUCUGUUUCUAAUGGCCUCAAGAGGGUAGCAGCAGAAGAAAGAAGUAGUACAGAACAUUGGAACAAUGUUUACUCAUCAAGAAACGAUGUUUCUGUAGACAAUAUAAAGCUGAUGUUCUUGCUACUGCUACUGCUGUUGUUUUAAAACAGUAUUAAACUAAAUAAGCGGAAAAAGCAAUCAAGUACACGGAGCUGGACGAGGAUCCCAGAAUGUCUACAUUGUCCAUGAAUCAACAAUCUCCCUAUGGGACUGUGAUGAAGUUACUCACUUUAUAACAUUAACUUAAGGAGUUAUAGGGUGGCAAUUUUUUUUAUUUCUUUGAACACACAUCUAUAACACGCAAGCAACAGAUUAAAAGCCU